rnacentral:rRNA from 1 species
CCUACGGGAGGCAGCAGUGGGGAAUUUUGGACAAUGGACGCAAGUCUGAUCCAGCCAUGCCGCGUGUGGGAAGAAGGCCUUCGGGUUGUAAACCACUUUUGUCAGGGAAGAAACGGCCUGGGUUAAUACCUUGGGCUAAUGACGGUACCUGAAGAAUAAGCACCGGCUAACUACGUGCCAGCAGCCGCGGUAAUACGUAGGGUGCAAGCGUUAAUCGGAAUUACUGGGCGUAAAGCGUGCGCAGGCGGUUAUGCAAGACAGAUGUGAAAUCCCCGGGCUCAACCUGGGAACUGCAUUUGUGACUGCAUGGCUAGAGUACGGUAGAGGGGGAUGGAAUUCCGCGUGUAGCAGUGAAAUGCGUAGAUAUGCGGAGGAACACCGAUGGCGAAGGCAAUCCCCUGGACCUGUACUGACGCUCAUGCACGAAAGCGUGGGGAGCAAACAGGAUUAGAUACCCUGGUAGUCCACGCCCUAAACGAUGUCAACUGGUUGUUGGGAGGGUUUCUUCUCAGUAACGUAGCUAACGCGUGAAGUUGACCGCCUGGGGAGUACGGCCGCAAGGUUGAAACUCAAAUGAAUUGACGG